rnacentral:rRNA from 1 species
UAGGGAAUCUUCCACAAUGGACGCAAGUCUGAUGGAGCAACGCCGCGUGAGUGAAGAAGGUUUUCGGACCGUAAAGCUCUGUUGUUGGUGAAGAAGGAUAGAGGUAGUAACUGGCCUUUAUUUGACGGUAAUCAACCAGAAAGUCACGGCUAACUACGUGCCAGCAGCCGCGGUAAAUACGUAGGUGGCAAGCGUUGUCCGGAUUUAUUGGGCGUAAAGCGAGCGCAGGCGGAAGAAUAAGUCUGAUGUGAAAGCCCUCGGCUUAACCGAGGAAUUGCAUCGGAAACUGUUUUCUUGAGUGCAGAAGAGGAGAGUAGAACUCCAUGUGUAGCGGUGGAAUGCGUAGAUAUAUGGAAGAAUACCAGUGGCGAAGGCGGCUCUCUGGUCUGCAACUGACGCUGAGGCUCGAAAGCAUGGGUAGCGAACAGGAUUAGAUACCCUGGUAGUCCAUGCCGUAAACGAUGAGUGCUAAGUGUUGGGAGGCUUCCGCCUCUCAGUGCUGCAGCUAACGCAUUAAGCACUCCGCCUGGGGGAGUACGACC